AGAAUUUAACCAGGAAGUUUUGUGGAAAAAGAUCUGUGAUGUCAUAAACAUGGGUAAUUCCCAGUGAGGAAAUCUCCUCUACCAACGUAGAAUGGGACCUGGAUGACAUCUAGUCAUAAAGAGCUGUGUGGGGCCCUGAGAGAGAACCAUUUGUUAAACAUUUACCAGUAUACCCCUGGAUUCAGCCAUUGGAGUUCUUCCUACUUUCCAAUGGAAUUCAAUUUUUAGAAACGUGUGAGGGUUUACUACAGAAGACUUUGUGUAUCAUCAUCAAAGAAAAGCAUGAACAUCAGCAAUAAACCGUAAUGGUGUUAGUAUUGUUAUAGUCAGCUGUUUGCACUGGCUGAGCAUUCAAAGUGGGCCCAUGUUGUUUAUCUUGCUCUUACCAGGCUGACAGGCCUGCCUACCUGAGUGUAUGUGUAAUGAAGUCAAGGUGGUUAAGAAUGCUUUGCAGUUUCCUCAUUCAAGGUCCCUUUCUGAUUUUUUUGUAUAUAAAAAA